rnacentral:rRNA from 1 species
AAGUGGUACGCGAGCUGGGUUCAGAACGUCGUGAGACAGUUCGGUCCCUAUCCGUCGCAGGCGUAGGAAAUUUGAGAAGACCUGUCCUUAGUACGAGAGGACCGGGAUGGACGUACCUCUGGUGUACUAGUUGUCCUGCCAAGGGCACGGCUGGGUAGCUAUGUACGGAAUGGAUAAGCGCUGUAAGCAUCUAAGCGCGAAGCCAACUUCAAGAUAAGAUUCCCCACCGCAAGGGUAAGACUCCAGAAAGACUAUCUGGUCGAUAGGUCGAAGGUGCAAGUGCAGCAAUGUACUUAGCUUAUCGAUACUAAUAGGUUGAGGACCUGACCAAG